GCCUAUGUUGACUGUACAGACGACCGUGGAAACUUCGAAGCCGGCAAAUUCGAGGAGGCUGCUUCUGCUUCACUCCCCGAGACAUGAAUCAACGCUUCUUUACUCCCUCCGAACACACUCAAUCUUCCACAUUUUUUUUUUUAAUUUCUUUGUGAUAAGAGAGCUGAUUUUACCCAAGUUGAUAGAUAUUGUCGGAAUCUGUUAACUCCACCGGUGUCUCCAAGGACACUGCUUCAUCAAUUCCUCCUCGUACUACAUAAACAUGGCGGCGCUUUGUACCCUGUUGCUGGGUUGUCUUGUGAUGGUGCUGCUUACUGGUAGCUCUGCUGCCGACAUAGGGGUGAAUAAAGAUACUCUAGACCCUAGUUUGCAUUCGAAGAAGGCUGUAGCUUCGACUAAUGGCACCGAUCUAUCUGCUGGAGGGGGCAAGGUGCCCAACUCAGAUGCCAAGUCUAACAAGGUCAAUAUAGUCGGAGACACAAAUAAUGGUAAGGUCAGACCAGAAAAUCGAGGUGGGGAUUUGGCUUCCGGUGGGAAGUCAAAGGGGAAAGGAGGGGUUGAAAAGAAAGACGAGAAGAAGUUGAGGAGUGGGGCUGGAUCGACUGAGGAUCCCAAGGGACAUGAUAGGGAAGGUGAUAUGGGUUUGGUGACUCUGCCGAGGAAGGAAGGCCCAUUGACCGAAGAAUGUGACCCUUCUAGUAGGUGCACUGCUGAGAAAGGCAAGCUCGUUGCGUGUUUGAGAUUCCCCGGAAAUGAUUCUCCGAAACUGUCACUUCUCAUUCAGAAUAAAGGGAAAGGUCCACUCACAGUUACGAUUUCUCCUCCUGAUUUGCUUGAGCUCAAGGAAAACAAAGUUCAGAUGAAAGAGAAAGAAAAUCAUGAGGUGAUGGUUUCUAUUGGAAAAUUAGGAUCUCGAAGCUCAAUCUAUCUGACAGCAGGAAACGAUAACUGCACCCUCGACUUCAAGGACAUGAUCCUGCAUAGUACAAGGAAGGACUUCCAUGGGCUCAUGAGUUCCCAACCCACCAACUUUCUCAGACAAAAGCCAAUGACUGCCUUUAUAUUUUUUGCGGCACUUAUUGUUUUGGCAACAGUCGCAGUAUUUAUUGGAGUAAGAAAGAAACAUUUUCUGAGCGGUGAAUCUAAAUAUCAGAGACUCGAUAUGAUGGAGCUUCCAGUUUCAAAUGUGGUUAAACCCGAAUCAUCAGAUUUCAGUGAAGGGUGGGACGAGAGUUGGGGAGAUGGUUGGGACGACGAGGAGGUACCCAAGACUCCAUCGAUGCCAGUUACUCCAAGCGUAUCUUCCAAAGGGCUCGCCCCUCGUCGCGCCACCAAGGAAGGUUGGAAAGACUAGAGUUGCCCCAGCCAUCACAAGAAUUCUGACUGCUGUGUUAUAUCCUUAUGAACCGGCUAAGGUGAAAUUGUUGAUCAGUGUGGGCACCAUCAAAACGAAAAUGAGAUCAUAGGCAACAAGAAUCAAUGGCCAUUCAAAAUGUUUUUCAGGUUGUGGAAGGCAUCUCGCAUGGUCCUCUUAUCUCUAUACACCAGCUAAAUAUAUUUGUUGCGUUGUCGACCCGUGAAAUUUUGUUUCCCGCAAAUGUGAGCUACGAUUGAUCCCUGCAUUUCGGUUUUAGUCUGAAGAUUCUUCCAUGAUUAUGUCCUUCACAUCAGGAUCCAUUUGGGGGUUCCGCAGGUCGUUGCCACCAUUGGCGUCCGGAGAAUUAAGCUACUAGAAUUUGUGUACUUUCGUGUUUCACUCUCCUUAACUUUAAAAUCUCAUAUCCACAUUAGUUCGGAUUCGGUCGAUUAGAACUGCAUUUCAACUCAUCCUGAUUAAGAUAUAAUUAUUGCAGCUGAGUUGUUACUCAUAUUGUGUUUGAUUACUCCAAAUAAUUAAUGAAUUUAAAAUUUCAGUA